GGGGACGUAGUUCAGCUGGUAGAACAUUUCGUUCGCAACGAAGAGGUCGGCGGUUCGACUCCGCCCGUCUCCA
rnacentral:tRNA from 1 species